CUCAGACAGGCCCCUUGCAGGUACUGCACAUGCCGGCUAUUCCGGUCAAGCAAUCGCAAGGAACCUGCGAUCACAUGGCCGGGCUGGAUCACCCGCAGGGGGACUGCCCGGGAUGCCAGGCAAGUCCCCACAUCACAAUUGCCGGCGGGGGAUCGCCAGCGAUCCGGUAAGUGCAUAGAUUGCCACGGAUGUACCAGGUACAACCAAGGUCCUUAACCAUUUUUGCAACUCCUUGGGUAACUGGCAACACUACUAGAACCUAUGCCUUUUGUCUCGAAUUCCUGUCUGUUGGUCACUACAGGUAAUAAAGACAAGUCUAAUAUAUCUCUGGAUAAAAAGUUGAUUAACUUGGCCAUUUAACCAAUAAAUUAUCAUAAAUUUC